AAACAAAUAAACAUUGAUAUAUGAAGAGAGUUAUGGAUCAUAAGAAAAGAGAUCUUGAUGAUUCAAGAAACACUCCAAGAAACACUCCAAGAAUCUCAUGUUUUUCUCUUCUCUUUGCACUCAUCUCUUUAAUCUCUCCUUGCCUCUUGGAUCUCAAUCCUUAGCUGUUAUCUCCUUCAUGGAUGUGCCACCCCCUGGUUUCUAAAGCAAGUUCCCCUCUCAAAGUUCUUUCUCAGGUACUAUCUUUCCUAAUUCAAUCAACCUGUGCUUUGUAAAUCCCACCUGCAAAAAAAAAAAGAAAAAAAAAUCAUGAACCAUAAUCAAAUCAUACCUGCAACCACCAUGAACCAGAAUCAAUCCAUCACAAAACGCCCAAACCCACAAAAUUACAGCAACAAAACCACUCUCACUAUCAACCAACCUCUUCUCACAAUUCCCACAAUUCAUUCCACAAUCCCUGAAACAUCAAUCCCACCACCAUCUGAAACCCGAAAUAAUCCUCACUCUGACCAAAUACACACUCAAAACUACACAGAUAUACCAGAAAGUAGCAGAUCUAGAGAGCAAUUCUGCACAACAAAUUUUAGUUACUAUCCUGACUCCAUCAUUGAAGACGGGGUAAAAGCAUGUCAAAGCAGCAUACUGGGCAAGAUUAUAACAGAUAAACACAUUCAUGUCAGCUCUAUUCAGAAUGGCCUAGAAAGUAUUUGGGGAUCUCCACCAGGAUUAAAGAUCCAAGAAAUUGAAGGAAAAAUCUUGCAAUUCUUCAUCACUAAUGUGGCUGACCAAGAGCGCAUCCUACAAGGUAAUCCCUGGAUCUUUAGAAACUCAUGGCUGAUUGUUAAACCUUGGGACAGAGAGACAGACCCUAGAACUAUUGAUUUUGAUCAUGCCCCAGUUUGGAUACAACUUUAGGGAUUACCACCCCAUUGCAAAACAAAGGCUAUGGGACAUCAUUUAGGGUCUUUAAUGGGGGAUGUAGAAGCCUCAGAAAUCUAUGAAUACCCGGGGAAAUAGAUGAUUAUCAAAAUAAAGGUGGCAAUAAAUGUGCAUCAACCUAUCCCCUCUGGAAUUCAUGUUGGUAACACAACAUAUGGAACAUGCUGGAUUGAUUUUAGGUAUGAAAGAUUGCCUCAAAUGUGCUUUAACUGUGGAAUGAUGGGUCAUGAUAGAAAACUAUGCAGAAACCAAGCUCUGAAAAUAGACACCCUGGCCCCUCUAGGGCCUUGGAUUCGGUCCACACAAUAUGGUAGAAGGAAAUUGGAUGAAAAGGACAGAAAAUUCUACAGUAAUCCGUCUCAUUCCCCAAAUUUUGGAAUGUACAGUCCCCCUGUUCCAGAAGCUCUAUUAGCACAGCUUGCAGCUAUGAAACUCCAACAACAUAGCCCUAAGGAUAACAAGCAGGAACCCAGACAAACUGACCAGCCACAGCAGAAUGGCAACUCAACAGAUGGUAACACGGAUCCAGGGCACAAUAGCUUGGUUAUAGCAUUUGAAAAGGGAGGAGAAUUCAUAGACAAGGAGCCCAACAAGAUGACAACUUAAUCACAGACAACUCUGACUACAUGGGACUGGAAAAUACUAAACAAGUUAAAAGGUUGAAGCUGGCAUUUGANNNNNNNNNNNNNNNNNNNNNNNNNNNNNNNNNNNNNNNNNNNNNNNNGACAUAGACAUCAUGGAAAUCCCAACAAUCAAGUCAAUGGCAGGCCUUGAAUCCCAGGCCAGCCAACAGCCAUGAAAAUCAUGUCUUGGAACUGUCAGGGACUUGGCAACCCCAAGACAGUGAGAGCCCUGCAAAAGCUCAUUGCCUACAAUCAUCCGGAUAUUAUCUUCCUUAUGGAAACUAAAAUGCACAACAUCUCCAACCAAUUCAAGGCUAAGUUUGCUGCUUCUUAUAGCUUUUUUUUCUAUUGAUUGUACUUUAAAUGGUAAUAGGGGUAAAUCUGGGGGUCUUAUUCUUUUAUGGAACAAUUGUAAUUGCCACGUGGAAAUAAAAGAUAUGGAUUUCAAUUAUAUGGAUUUGCAUGUGACUAACCUAUCUAAUAACAUGCAGUGGAGGGCUACCGGGGUGUAUGGAUACCCAAAGCACCACCUUAAGUAUCUCACCUGUGAUCUGCUAAAACACCUUAAUAAUUCAACUUCCCUUAAUAAAAAUUGGCUACUGUUUGGUGACUUAAAUAUCACUCUCUCUGACAAGGAAAAAUUUGGGGGAAACCCUAUUGACACUAACAUUACUAAUUUGUUCAGAUCAACCCUUGCUAUUUGUGAUUUUCAGGAUCUUGGUUACAAGGGUGAUGUCUUUACAUGGAACAACAGACAACAAGGCUCCAAUUUGAUAAAAGCCAGACUUGACAGAUUUGUGGCAAACACUGAUUGGAUCUCCCUUUUUCCAAAUUACUCAAACUCUCACUUGCUUAGAUAUAAAUCUGACCACGCUCCUAUCCUUUUAGAUUUUUCCCCUUAUGCAGGUCACAAACAGCGUCAAAAAAGAAAUACGCCUAUCAGAUAUGAGCAAAUUUGGUCUAGGGACACCAACCACAUUCAGAUUGUUAAGGACCAUUGGCUAGCCAAUGGGGGUCCUACCCAUCAGAAGCUUACUACAGCCCUAAAUGCGCUCCAGAGCUGGGGAAAAAACCGAUUUGGAAUAAUCCCCACAAGAAUUAAGAACCUUCAAGAAGAGUUAAAAAAACUAAAUGAUGAAAAUGGCGCUCUGAACCUAACGGAGCAAAUCAAAAGUAAAGAACUCGAGCUUGACGACAUCUUAGAAUGUGAAGAGAUGUGGUGGGGGCAACGAUCUAGAGCCCUAUGGCUGGAACAUGGUGACAAAAACACUAAGUACUUCCAUAUGAAAGCUAAUAUCAGAAAGAAAAAGAACACCAUCGAAGCCAUUAAGGACUCUCAAGGCCAAAUACAACAUGAAGAUAACAUGAUUGAGCAGAUCCUGGUGGAACACUUCCAAACCCUUUUUACUAAGCAAAAUACCAAAAAUAUUACUGAAACUGUCAAGGUUGUUGAAGGAAAAGUCAGCCCUGAGAUGCAUCAGAUGUUAAGUGAGGCUUAUACUAAAGAGGAGGUUUUUCAAGCUAUAAAGGACAUGAAGGCUCUAGCUGCCCCGAGGCCAGAUGGGUUGCCUGCCCUUUUUUACCACAAUUAUUGGGAUAUUAUUGGCAAUGAUAUCACUAGUAUGGUUUUGCAGGUGCUUAAUAAUAAUGGGGAUCCCUGCCAGUUUAAUUCUACCCACAUCUGCCUCAUCCCAAAAACCAGUCAUCCCUCAACCCCGAGUGAUUUUAGACCUAUUUCCCUAUGCAAUGUAACCCUAAAGAUAAUCACCAAAACCUUAGCUAAUAGAAUCAAGACAAUCCUCCCUAAGAUCAUCAGCCCCAACCAGAGUGCUUUCAUCUAGGGAAGACUCAUUACUGAUAACACUAUCAUUACGUCUGAUAUCUUCAACUACCUAUCCCACACUAAUAGAAAAAAUGGUUUCGUGGGCAUCAAAACGGAUAUGGCUAAAGCCUAUGACAGAGUUGAAUGAGACUUUUUAGAAGCUACACUAUCAGCUAUGGGGUUUCCCAGCAAAAUGAUUCAAACUAUUAUGAAAUGCGUCUCUACUGUCACUUUCUCUAUCCUCAUCAAUGGUCAUCCUUCUACGGAAUUCCACCCCCAACGGGGCAUUCGUCAGGGAGACCCACUAUCCCCUUAUCUUUUUAUCAUAUGUGCUGAUGUUUUAUCUGGUCUUCUGACAAAGGCUCAAAAUGAGCGUAUUAUUCAUGGGGUAAAGAUUGCUCCUGGAGCCCCCGAGAUUAGUCAUCUCCUUUUUGCUGAUGACAGUUUACUUUUUUGUAGGGCUACCACAAAGGAAGUUACUGCUAUAUCUAAUAUCAUCCAGACCUACCAGGAGGCAUCAGGACAAUUAGUUAAUCUUACAAAGUCUGAAAUGGUGUUUAGUAAGGGAAUACCCAAUGCAACAAAAAAUGACAUCUCCAAAAUUUUACCUAUGCAGAUCCUUGAUCACUUCUCAAAAUAUCUUGGAAUGCCCACCUUUAUUGGUAGGUCCAAAAAUCAGGUUUUCAAUUUCCUUCAAGAAAAAAUCUGGAAAAAACUAAAAGGGUGGAAAGAAAGGAAUCUAUCUUUUGCUGGCAGAGGAAUUUUAAUCAAAGUUGUGGCACAAGCCAUCCCAACUUACAUAAUGAGCAGCUUUCUUCUACCUAAGGAGGUUUGUGCUCAAAUGGAGAAAAUGAUUUGCAAUUUUUGGUGGGGAAGCUCUACAGAUACUAGGAAAAUUCACUGGAUCAAUUGGCAGAAGAUAUGUAGACAAAAAAAGACUGGUGGCUUAGGUUUCCGCCAGUUAAGGGCCUUUAAUGAAGCUCUUUUGGCCAAACAAGGAUGGAGGAUUAUCAGCCAGCCCUCUUCCCUUAUGGCACAAGUCCUAAAAGCUAAAUAUUUCCCUAAGGACCACUUUCUACAAGCCAAGCCAAAGCAGCAAAUGAGCUACACUUGGAGGAGCAUACUUCAGGCAAGAUGGAUCAUAAAAAAAGGUUGCUACUGGACCAUUGGAUCAGGCAAAGAUGUGGAUAUCUGGAAGGACAACUGGAUUCACCAAAAGGGCAAUUCUUCCACUUGGAGUAGUAAACCUAACCUAUCUACCCACCACAAAGUACAGGAUAUCAUGAACACUCACAAUAAUAGAUGGAAUGAAGCACUCAUAAAUCAACUAUUCAUCCCCAUUGAAGCCCAGAAAAUCUUACAAAUUCCUAUCACUGAUNNNNNNNNNNNNNNNNNNNNNNNNNNNNNNNNNNNNNNNNNNNNNNNNNNNNNNNNNNNNNNNNNNNNNNNNNNNNNNNNNNNNNNNNNNNNNNNNNNNNNNNNNNAAACAUUCUUAUCUGGGAUGGUACCCUUGACGGAAAUUAUUCAGUGAAAUCUGGCUAUCAAGCCAUUAUAGAAUGGGAUGGAAAAGUCUAAGCUGGCACUUCUGCCAUAAAGGGGGAAAUUUGGCCUAUGUUAUGGGAACUCAAUGUCGCACCUAAGCAUAGCCAUUUCUUAUGGAGAGCUCUAAAUGAAGCUAUCCCUGUUAAGGGAAACCUUUUUAAAAAGGGUGUUAAAUGUGACCCUCUAUGUCCUAGGUGUUUUAACCAUGUUGAAACUAUUCAUCAUGCCUUUCUAGAUUGUGUCUGGGCCAAACAACUAUGGUUUUCAUCAACUCUCACCAUCAAUCUAAACCACUGUCAUUAUACUAAUCUACAUGACUGGGUGUUACACAUGUUCAAACAAACAGACAAAGCAAGCAGAGAGAUUAUUACUGCUACUCUCUAUGGUAUCUGGUACGCAAGGAAUUUGCUAGUUUUUCAAGGAAAAAACUUACCUCCUCAUGAAGUCAGCACCACUAUCCUAGCUCAGCUACAAGAAUUCCAAUGUCACUGCAUAAAAAAAAAACAUAGUGAAUCAAAACCAUUCAACCGGUAAUAGCAGUAACAAUAAAUGUUGGAGUCCUCCUCCUAAGGGUACUGUGAAAAUUAAUGUGGAUGCUCACCUUGGUGAUGGCCAUUGGUUUUCAGGGCUCAUUCUUAGAAGGUGGGAUGGGAACGCAAUUGGAGCUACUACUCGGUUGCAUGCGGGAUCGGAUGAAAUCAUUCAAGGCGAAGCUUAUGCUAUUAAUGAUGCGUUGGAUUUGGUGGAAAAACUUUGCUUACCGGAAGUCAUAAUCGAAUCAGACUCUCAGAUCUUUGUGAAUUUGGUGAAGAAGACAAGGGUGAGGAAGAAUUGGGGUCGUAUAGUCGAGCGAUGCAUUUCUUUCCUCGAAGCAAACCCUAGCUCUUCAAUUUCUUGGGUCAAUAGAGUAAGGAAUCGGGUUGCCCAUGAAUUGGCUAAAUGGGCUUAGAAUGAGCC
rnacentral:lncRNA from 1 species